rnacentral:rRNA from 1 species
UACAGAGGUCUCAAGCGUUGUUCGGAUUCAUUGGGCGUAAAGGGUGUGUAGGUGGCGCGCUAAGUCGGGUGUGAAAUUUCGGAGCUUAACUCCGAAACUGCAUUCGAUACUGGCGUGCUUGAGGACUGGAGAGGAGACUGGAAUUCAUGGUGUAGCAGUGAAAUGCGUAGAGAUCAUGAGGAAGACCAGUGGCGAAGGCGGGUCUCUGGACAGUUCCUGACACUGAGACACGGAAGGCCAGGGGAGCAAACGGG